rnacentral:snoRNA from 1 species
AAGACUGUACUUCAAGGAUCAUUUCUAUAGUUUUGUUACCAGAGAAGUUUUUCUGAUCAUGUAGAGCACCAAAUCUUCAAACUGAACAUAUA